GGGCAUGUAGGGUAACUGGUAACGCCCGGGAUCUCAUUAUCCGGCACCCGGAGUUGUCGGUUCGACCCGGGCCAUGUCCA